UACGUAGGGUGCGAGCGUUAAUCGGAAUUACUGGGCGUAAAGGGCGCGUAGGCGGCCUUCUAAGUCAGACGUGAAAUCCCCCGGCUUAACCUGGGAACUGCGUCUGAUACUGGGAGGCUUGAGUAUGGGAGAGGGAUGUAGAAUUCCAGGUGUAGCGGUGAAAUGCGUAGAUAUCUGGAGGAAUACCGGUGGCGAAGGCGGCAUCCUGGACCAUUACUGACGCUGAGGCGCGAAAGCUAGGGGAGCAAACGGG
rnacentral:rRNA from 2 species